rnacentral:rRNA from 1 species
UUCGUAGGCGGACUGGUAAGUCAGAGGUGAAAGCCAACGGCUCAACCGUUGAAUUGCUUCUGAUACUGUCAGUCUUGAGUCCGUCAGGGGAUGGUGGAAUUCCUGGUGUAGCGGUGAAAUGCGUAAAUAUCAGGAGGAACACCGGUGGCGAAGGCGGCCAUCUGGGACGGUACUGACGCUGAGGAACGAAAGCUAGGGUAUCAAACG